GAUAAACAUUACUUCAACCAAAUUAAACCAAUUUUCGAGCAAUGAAGUAUAGCGGGAUACUUCCUAUUACCAUACCAAAGUCAGUUUGAUACAGGACGACAUGCCAGCAGUUGCGAUCUGAGCACAACUAGAUCUGUAUGACAUGAGAAAAAACAUGUCAGAGGAUUUGAAAAUACUUAGUUUUAUGUUAAACUGUGUGUUCAAUUAAAUAUACUCGUAAUACCUCUGUUAUACACAUGAGACGUGUUCUCAUUUGUACGUACUCACAUAUGUAUUGUCCAAUGAAGAUAUAUCGGUUUGGAAUACACAUUGGCCUUCAGCAACAUUAAUGUGCCUAGUUUACGUACAAAUAAAUAAAAUCUCAUCAAUAA